CAAGGAUUCCCCUAGUAGCGGCGAGCGAAGCGGGAAGAGCUCAAAUUUAUAAUCUGGCACCUUCGGUGUCCGAGUUGUAAUCUCUAGAAAUGUUUUCCGCGUUGGACCGCACACAAGUCUGUUGGAAUACAGCGGCAUAGUGGUGAGACCCCCGUAUAUGGUGCGGACGCCCAGCGCUUUGUGAUACAUUUUCGAAGAGUCGAGUUGUUUGGGAAUGCAGCUCAAAUUGGGUGGUAAAUUCCAUCUAAAGCUAAAUAUUGGCGAGAGACCGAUAGCGAACAAGUACCGUGAGGGAAAGAUGAAAAGCACUUUGGAAAGAGAGUUAACAGUACGUGAAAUUGUUGGAAGGGAAACGCUUGAAGUCAGACUUGCUUGCCGAGCAAUCGGUUU
rnacentral:rRNA from 1 species